UCUACAUUAUACUGCUUUCCCAAAGCCAUUUAUACGUCUUGCGGUUCUGAUCAGUGGGGUUAUUUUUCCUUGUUGGUUUGUGUUUGUAUUUUUUCACUGUGGCUGCUCUGCUCUCUGACUGGCUCACUUGUGAACAAAUCCCAGGAUACACUAAGUAUCUGAAACAAUGGAAGCAGAAGAGUUCAUCUAGAGAGCCCAUAGAGGCGAAGAGGAAGGGCAGAGGACACAUCUUGAAGGAUUCUAGGAGGUGGGAUAUGGCAGGAGGAGAGCAAGAUAAGUGGUGGAAAUUGUGAACUUGCUGACAAGUUUCAGACUGUUAUUCAUUCAGGAUUAUGAAUACCUCGUCUGAAAUUCCAAAGGUCCCAAUCCGGCAGAGUCAAUGGGGUUACAUUUGUGCUUCAGUCUGAGCACAUGCUGAAAUGCUUUGCUGGGUCCUGGUUUUACACUGAAAGUAUUUGCUCUUUGUGUAGCAGGUAACUGAAAAGAUCUCACAUGAGGUAAGAGCAGUAGAAUUGGGCCCAUGAUCACAUAUCCCCUUUUAUAGGAAUGUAAACGUUGCUUCAUUUUAAGGUAUAUUAUAUACUGUUA
rnacentral:lncRNA from 1 species